CCGCCGCCUCCUCUCACAGCUGUCGCCGCCGCGCUCGCCGUCCGCCACCGCCGUCCUCCUCGCCUCCCCGCGCCUCCCCCGCGCCUCCCCGCCGAGCUCACCGGAGAGCUCAACGGAGAGCUCACCGCGGCCUCCCCGCGCCUCCCCCGCGCCUCCCCGCGCCCUCCCGCCCCCUCCCUUCCCAGCUCACCGGAGAGCUCACCGGAUCCGCGUCCUCCCCGGCGCCCUCCACGCCGACGGCCUCACCGGAGGCCGACUUCACCGGGGCUGUCGCCGCGGCCUCCCAGGCGCCCUCGCAGUGGCCUCCCCGCCCUCAGCGCGGCCUCCCCGCGCCGGUGGCCUCAUCGGAGGCCGAGCCGCGGCCUCCCCGGCACCCUCGCCGCACCCUCCCCGCCGCCUCCCCUGCCCCUAGCUAGCAGGAUGGCGGGUAGGAAGGUGAAGAAGAUUUCUAAGGGCCUGCUUGGGGCAGUGUGCGGUGUAGGCAACAAGGAAGAUGCCCUUUUUCAAGGGAGUUCGUCUAGCUCGAGCAGAUGACGGGACUUGAUGAGGGCUCUCACCCAAGAGCAGCAGCCCGUUCAGCAAGAGCAGCAGCAUGUUUAGGAAGAGCCUGUGGUCUGCUAUAUGAGAAACGAGAACGAUCCUGAAUCCGAGGAGGAGGGGGAGGAGGGGAUGGGGAGGAGGAGGAUGGGGAGGAGGAGGGGGACGGGGAGGAGUCCGACCAGAUGGGUGUGUCCGAGGAAGGGGGGAAGCAUGGGACUACGUCUGGAGAAGCGGACGAUGAGGGCGACGCCGAUCCUUUUGGGGAGUUGCCCUCUAACUUUCCCUCUAGUUCGGCGUCUCAGAGAACUUAGCACAGUCGGAGGAGCCACCACGUUCGUCCAGGACUCGAACGCGCUGAGCUUGAUAAGAUUAUCAUUAGACCAUGUGGUGACUGGUUUUGGGAUGACACCUCUUUCGAAGGCAAGGGGCAUCACCGGCAGGUGAACACGACGUUAGGUAACUGGAUUCGGCUUCAUUGGCCGGGUGUGGUUACUGAUCCCGGUACUGGCCAGAUAAUACCGGUUAGAAAUUGGGACCAAUACCGGUACGCAACUAAUGCAAAGCAUGUGAACGCUCAAGAAACGUUACAGAUUGGGACCUGGAUCGUGUCCGAAUCAUGCUGAGAGGGUUUUUCGAGAACAAUGCCGCCAAGAUCACCAGGGAUGCCAUCUCUUAUGCGCGCAUACAGGCCCAGAACAUCUAUUUCAAGGAAGUACUUGGGAGAUCAAUUUUGGGAAAGCGAGAAUCCUCAUCUACCUACUUGACUGAGCAACAGUACAGACAGGUUAUGGUGCCUUGGAUGGCGAACAAUUUGGAGGGCUACCAUGCUCUAUGCAGACUAUGGUCAUCGGCAGGAUUCAAGGCUAAGUCUGAGAAGAAUAGGCGUAACCGUGGGAGACAAGGCUUGCACAGAUAUGGUGGUGAUGGGCAUCUUCGAAAGGAAGCUGCUACUGGGGUCGCUCCAAGCGAUAUUGAGGUGUACGUGGAAUUCCACAAGGGUCGAGAUCCUUAGAACCCUGACCUCCUGUGCACAGAGAAGGCCACACAGCGUAUGG